UUUUAGAGAUAAAAUGCAUGCCACGUUUGUAAGAUUUUCCAUCCGUACACGUCUCUUGUAAAAGGGCAAUCAAACGACACCGUUCUACUGAAGCAAGCUUGACACACCCAAAAAUAUUUUUCCCGCGUAAGUAAAACGAAACCAUCCAAUAUCCCCUCCAUUACUCCAUCCUCUCGUCAAAAUUACAGACACAAAAACACGGUCAUCGCCUCCACCAGCGGCAGAGACCAAGAGCCACCACCAACCCGCACCGAGAUCGUAAACCUAGCCCAUCAAAACAACCUCCAUCCUUACCUUUUCUCUAAAUCUUACCACGCUUCUCUCAUCUCGUUGUACCUCCACACCCGCUCCCGUUUUCCACUCUUUCCGUCGCCGUCUCCGAGUAUACACUCUCUGUCCUGUCUCUCAUUUCCCUCUCUCUACACCACCCUUCCCUAUCUGUCUUUCUCUCCUCUCCAUGUACACCCAUCUCUUCCUUUCUUUCCAAAUCCGGCCCACACGAUCCCAAUUCCCUCAAAACAGUGGCAGCGGCAACAUGGGAACCUUGACAAGUUGAACGGGCAGAGGUAAAUGAGUAGGCUAAUUUAAGAAUCCAAAGGUUAAAAUAACUAAUAGUAGCUAGCACUUCACCCCUUACAAGCCUUUUGAAUUUUUCUUAUAAACUUUAGUUGUGUGACUCAAGUUGCCUUCGCUUGCAUAUCAACUGUUGGUUUUGGCGUACAAGGGAUCCAAUUAGAGGGAGGUGAUUGAAGGGAUUAUGAGUUUUAUUGGGGUCAGAGUUGGGAUCGAUAGCGAAUUCCACCGCUAGGGAAAUUGAAGGGACCGUUUUGCUUCACGUUGAUUUUCUGGUGAAGUAGGAUCCUUCGUUGGCUCAGGAGGUUAUGGGACUUGUGAAAUUGGAUCCUGGUGCUCUUGAUCAUUUUUUGCUGUGGCUGUUUUAUUGUCUGCUGCAAGGGUUAGGAGGUUCAUUGAGAGCUCCAUGGGGAUUUUUGAAGACUGCAUUGCUUACUGCUUAUGGCGAUUACAAGUUUUCCAGGAACUUUCUGUGCUUACCACUUCCCACUUACCAGAUGAUUUAAAGAAAAACUAUAAAUGUUCAAAUGGUGGAUAAGGCAAUAUUAACAGCCGUUAGUUUCUUUUUACCAAAGUUCCAUCAGUUGGCAUGUUUACAAUGGGACAUUUGCGUACAACAUGGAUAAGAUGAGGCAUUCGAGAAGCAUGAUGUUGAGAACCAUGUAGCUGAGCGCAUAAAGGAGCUCGAUAGGAGGCAGGACCCACUUGGCAUUGCAUCGUUGGUCAGAGUUUGGGUAACCCCUUUCAAUCCUGUUUCCUUUUGUAGCACUUUCACCUUUUUUUUUUUUUUCUCGCAGAUUUGGUGCAUGUGUUGCUAUAUUUUUGGGGUAUUGAAGUUGAAUGUGACUAUGCAAUGAUUUGCUUCUGUUUUCUAAGCUGCAUGACUGAUGCUGUUUCUCUAUUUAAAAACACUGGAUUGAACAAAAUUAUGAUGAAAUAGAAUCACACCCCACCUAACCUGGGCUAUUUUUGGUGGUUGAGCGCCAAUUUUAUUGAAUGCCACGAUUUUGAGACAAAGCAAUUUGCAUCUUGGUGAAACAAAGAGUUCUGUUUGUACCUAUGUUAGCCAAUGGAACAAGUUCACAUA